rnacentral:rRNA from 1 species
CACGUGAGUACGAGUUUGAUCAGUGGCUACAGGACGAACGCUGGCGGCGUGCCUAACACAUGGCAAGUCGAACGGGGUGAUUUUCUUCGGAGGAUCACUUAGUGGCGAACGGGUGAGUAACGCGUGAGAAACCUGCCUUUCAGUGGGGGACAACAGUUGGAAACGACUGCUAAUACCGGAUGAUAUACAAGAUGAUACGUUAUCUUAUAUUAAAAGAAGCCUCUAAAGCUUCACUUAGAGAUGGGCCUGCGGCGUAUUAACUAGUUGGUGAGGUAAUGGCUCACCAAGGUAACGAUGCGUAGCCGGACUGAGAGGUUGAACGGCCACACUGGGACUGAGACACGGCCCAAACUCCUACGGGAGGCAGCAGUGGGGAAUAUUGCACAAUGGGGGAAACCCUGAUGCAGCGACGCCGCGUGAGUGAAGAAGUAUUUCGGUAUGUAAAGCUCUAUCAGCAGGGAAGAAAAUGACGGUACCUGACUAAGAAGCCCCGGCUAACUACGUG